GCACUGCUGAUGAGUCCGAUAAUAGGACGAAACGGCUGUUCAGUGC
rnacentral:hammerhead_ribozyme from 1 species